UCAGUUUCAUUUUCCUUGAAAUCAAUUUGACAGGUGUCAGCUCUUUCUCAGGCGUCUCCCAGUCUCACUGUUGGUUUGACCCUGAGCUGUGUCUCCGUCUCCAGCUCCAAUCUGAUCGACUUCUCCACUGAAGAUGGAUCCAGUUGAUGAAAUCAUACGGCUGUUAUGUUAUUUAUUCCCUUACAACCAAAUCAACACUAAACUGCAACGUCCACCUGGUGCCGUGGAGAAAGCUGGACUAUUGGCCUUUGCUGGAGCGUUGGCUUGGGGUCCUGUUGGUCUUCUUGUGGGUGGAGCGGUUGGAGGAGUGGCUGGCCUCUUGCAGAACCAGGAUGAUUUCAAACCGCUGCCUCAGGUCUUAAAGAACCUCAGUGAUGAGAAGAAGCAGGAUCUUUAUUAUCAUCUCAGGCUCGUCCUGAGAAACCUUCCAUGGACAGAUUUUGACGAACUGCAUUCUCUGGUGUUGGCUGAUGAUAUCCUGAAGCAGCAGAUUCUCGAAGCUCUCACCCAGUUUUUCAAAAAUAUAUAUGGAGGCUGAGACAUACUGCCCACAAGAUGUGAUCUGUUUG